rnacentral:rRNA from 1 species
UGGGGAAUAUUGGACAAUGGGCGAAAGCCUGAUCCAGCCAUGCCGCGUGAGUGAAGAAGGUCUUCGGAUUGUAAAGCACUUUAAGUUGGGAGGAAGGGCAUUAACCUAAUACGUUAGUGUUUUGACGUUACCGACAGAAUAAGCACCGGCUAACUCUGUGCCAGCAGCCGCGGUAAUACAGAGGGUGCAAGCGUUAAUCGGAAUUACUGGGCGUAAAGCGCGCGUAGGUGGUUUGUUAAGUUGGAUGUGAAAUCCCCGGGCUCAACCUGGGAACUGCAUUCAAAACUGACUGACUAGAGUAUGGUAGAGGGUGGUGGAAUUUCCUGUGUAGCGGUGAAAUGCGUAGAUAUAGGAAGGAACACCAGUGGCGAAGGCGACCACCUGGACUAAUACUGACACUGAGGUGCGAAAGCGUGGGGAGCAAACA